rnacentral:tRNA from 1 species
GUUUCUGUAGUGUAGUGGUCGUCACGUCAGCUUCGAACGCGCGAGGUCCCCAGUUCGAACCUGGGCGGAAACA